rnacentral:lncRNA from 1 species
GGGGACACUUCUGUGUACACUUCCUUCCAUGACCUCUGUCUUCUUCCUUGUGAUAUUUCUGAGGUGGGUGCAAAGCUCUGCGUCUGUGGGGCCUGCCAGCCCUGCCACCGCUUUCUAAGUUCACCAGGGAUGUGUGUGUAUGAGGGGGUGGCCCCUCCUACAGGCAGGUCAGUCCUUCAUUAUCUAAGACGUGAGGGGGGUGGGGGUCUGAAUGGGCACUGACUCACAUGCAGGUGUAGGUGGAGUCCCUGAGUCAGGCACCUGAUCAGGUGGAACAAUCAACAUUGCCAUCAGGGGCCAGAGAACCUGCCAGAGCUGGCCUGAGGUGGUCGAGUCCAGGCACAGGCCUCUGGCUGCUUUGGGUUUUAGUUUUUAAUAGUAGACCUUCUCUGAUUUAUUUUAUGAUUCUUCUCUUUGAAACUAAAUCGAGCAUCCCAGCUCUUGGGUUAUGAGGGGACAGAAAAACCUUCAGAAAAAAUAGCAAAAUAAGUGAGCAAAAACAACUUGCUUGUCCAGUAACCAAGAGACUGAGUUUAGGGGCCUAGAAAAUUAGGAAGUUAAAAAUUAGUGAAGUGUCAGAUUGACUUUCACUUAAUUAAAAUAGCAGCCCAAAUUUCCCUUUUUGUCUAGAACCUUCUGUAUGGAUUUGAGGAGUGCCAGAUGCUGAUCCUUAGAGCAGAUUGAAACACUCUCCCCAUAUUUCAGUGACACAAAUACAGAGGCUACCAAUGCCUUUACGAGAUAAUGACCCCAAAAUAGCAAACUUACUGAGAUCCAUCUUUGAGAAAAAAAUUUCUCCUUGUCGGUAUUUCACCCUCUGAUCCAAUACUGUCUGUCUGUUCCCUUUCUUUCUUUCUAGAAGAAAAAGAAAUUGAAAACUAUUCCUGUCAAGGCAUAUUUGUGUGUGUGUGUUUUUAAAUAAACAUUUAAUUGAGAAAGGAAUCACUAAUGGACCAAAGUUUAGGGGUACAGUGGGAAUUUGGUCAUGUCCAGGUGGUCUCCCUGGAACUUCUCAAACUCACCCCAGGAAACCUUUCUUAUUUUUACAAAUGAGCAGGGGCAGGAUGGCGAGGGGGGGGUUCUGAGGUUCCAAAUGUUUCUGGAGGAGAAUAGAUGUUCCUUGUAUGGGAGAGCCUGCUGAACUCAACAGGGUGAAAAUGAUAAUGUAGCUCUAAUCUAUCAAGCAUAGACCAGAUGCCAGGCGCAGUAUGAAGCACCUUGUAUAAUAUUAUGCCUCUCUUUUUACAGCUUUCUUGAAGUGUUGUUGAUGUGCAAUAUACUACACAUAUUCAAUACUGUUAUAAUUUGGAUCUAAAAUAUCCCCCAAGGGCUCAUGUGUCAAAGGCCUGGUCCCUAGUUGUUGGAAUCAUUAGGAGGUGGGGGAAACUUUAGGGGUGGCCUAGUUGGAAGAAGUAGGUCACUGAAGGUGUGAUGUUGAAUGGUCUAUGGAGACCCUGAAUCCUUCAUCUCUCUUUCUUUCUCUGCUUUCUGGUCACCACAAGGUAAAAAUAGCUUUCCUCUCGCUUGCCCUCCUGCCAUGAUGUCCUGCCUCACGACAGGCCCAGAAACAAUGGAGAGGAGACGAGUGACCGUGCAUGG